rnacentral:rRNA from 1 species
GGACGAGAUGUCGAUUUGGAGGUUGUGCCCUUGAGGCGUGGCUUCCGGAGCUAACGCGUUAAAUCGACCGCCUGGGGAGUACGGCCGCAAGGUUAAAACUCAAAUGAAUUGACGGGGGCCCGCACAAGCGGUGGAGCAUGUGGUUUAAUUCGAUGCAACGCGAAGAACCUUACCUGGUCUUGACAUCCACAGAACUUUCCAGAGAUGGAUUGGUGCCUUCGGGAACUGUGAGACAGGUGCUGCAUGGCUGUCGUCAGCUCGUGUUGUGAAAUGUUGGGUUAAGUCCCGCAACGAGCGCAACCCUUAUCCUUUGUUGCCAGCGGUCCGGCCGGGAACUCAAAGGAGACUGCCAGUGAUAAACUGGAGGAAGGUGGGGAUGACGUCAAGUCAUCAUGGCCCUUACGACCAGGGCUACACACGUGCUACAAUGGCAUAUACAAAGAGAAGCGACCUCGCGAGAGCAAGCGGACCUCAUAAAGUAUGUCGUAGUCCGGAUUGGAGUCUGCAACUCGACUCCAUGAAGUCGGAAUCGCUAGUAAUCGUAGAUC